GUACAAUUACCAUGAUGAUUUCAUAGUUCAACUGAAAUUACUUUGACGAUAAUUUAAUAUUAUAGUCUUUCGCUCCUAUCUGAUAUUAGUU